CCUACGGGUGGCAGCAGUGGGGAAUAUUGCACAAUGGGGGAAACCCUGAUGCAGCGACGCCGCGUGAGUGAAGAAGUACUUCGUUAUGUAAAGCUCCAUCAGUAGGGAAGAAAAUGACGGUACCUGAGUAAGAAGCCCCGGCUAACUACGUGCCAGCAGCCGCGGUAAUACGUAGGGGGCAAGCGUUAUCCGGAUUUACUGGGUGUAAAGGGAGCGUAGACGGGAGUGCAAGUCAGGAGUGAAAGGCGGGGGCUCAACCUCCGGACUGCUCUGGAAACUGUACGGCUGGAGUGCAGGAGAGGUAGGUGGAAUUCCUGGUGUAGCGGUGAAAUGCGUAGAUAUUAGGAGGAACACCAAUGGCGAAGGCAGCUUACUAAACUGUAACUGACGUUGAGGCUCGAAAGCGUGGGGAGCAAACAGGAUUAGAUACCCGAGUAGUC
rnacentral:rRNA from 1 species